rnacentral:lncRNA from 10 species
CCUGAUUAUAGAAGAGAACAAUUUUUCAUUCUCCUUGAAAGCGAGUCUUCUUUAUACACAGAUGACAAGUUCACUAACUCAGUAGAAAUAAGACUUCAGAAAGAAAUAUUAAAUUUUAAUGUUUCCUCAGAGUGAUGUAAACCUAAAGACAUUUUUUUAGGAUGAAUGAAUGAGUUUAUGCUCACCGAUCUCUCAAUCUGUGGUGAAUAUUCUUUUGGAAAAACCAACAUGGUGCAAAUCUUUUGGUUUAUAAAACUAGCUGUAAACGUCAUCACACCAGCUUGGAACUGAAAGGAUGUCAGGGGAACAUGUUUUAAGAAAACAACCUUAAAAUGCAUUAGCUUCCUAUUACAAACCUUUUAUCCCAAUUAAAAAAUGGAAUCAAACAUGUUUCACCUUAAUUGCUCAAGCAGCCUGAGCUACAUGUUCAUCACAUAGUUUUAAGUUGUAUAAUUUGGGGUCUCUCCAAAUACAUUCUAGGGAAGUUGGUAAAGGCACUAUCAGCUGGUGAACACAGAUGCUAUUUCAUUAACAUAUUUAGCCAAAUCUUGAUGAAUCCUAAUUUAUAUUUGCUUAAACCGGAAGUCUAAUCUUUUUAAGUUCAUUUUCCCAGACUUUCAGAAAUCCCCAGUGAUGUUUACACAUUCAUGAAAUUUGCCUAGUUAUAGGUCUUACUUCAGUAAGUCCAGUCCAAA